UAGUGGCGAACGGGUGAGUAACACGUGAGUAACCUGCCCUUGACUCUGGGAUAAGCCUGGGAAACUGGGUCUAAUACUGGAUAUGCACCGUGAACCGCAUGGUUUUUGGUGGAAAGAUUUAUUGGUCAAGGAUGGACUCGCGGCCUAUCAGCUUGUUGGUGAGGUAAUGGCUCACCAAGGCGACGACGGGUAGCCGGCCUGAGAGGGUGACCGGCCACACUGGGACUGAGACACGGCCCAGACUCCUACGGGAGGCAGCAGUGGGGAAUAUUGCACAAUGGGCGAAAGCCUGAUGCAGCGACGCCGCGUGAGGGAUGACGGCCUUCGGGUUGUAAACCUCUUUCAGUAGGGAAGAAGCGAAAGUGACGGUACCUGCAGAAGAAGCGCCGGCUAACUACGUGCCAGCAGCCGCGGUAAUACGUAGGGCGCAAGCGUUAUCCGGAAUUAUUGGGCGUAAAGAGCUCGUAGGCGGUUUGUCGCGUCUAUCGUGAAAGUCCGAGGCUCAACCUCGGAUCUGCGGUGGGUACGGGCAGACUAUGAGUGAUGUAGGGGAGACUGGAAUUCCUGGUGUAGCGGUGAAA
rnacentral:rRNA from 1 species